ACGCUCGACACCUACGGAGGCAGCAGUAGGGAAUCUUCCACAAUGGACGCAAGUCUGAUGGAGCAACGCCGCGUGAGUGAAGAAGGUUUUCGGAUCGUAAAGCUCUGUUGUUGGUGAAGAAGGAUAGAGGUAGUAACUGGCCUUUAUUUGACGGUAAUCAACCAGAAAGUCACGGCUAACUACGUGCCAGUAGCCGGCCGGUAACGUACUGAGGCGGGCGUGGCGAACGGACG
rnacentral:rRNA from 1 species